GAACAAGGACCAACGAUCCCUCUUUCUUUCUAUAAAUGCAAGCCCACAAAAAUCUCUCCCCAGCGCGAUCAUCUGUCUCUCUUGUUACCUACGCUUACUCCAAUUUUUGUGCAUUUCUCUAAUCAGAUACUAGACAGGCACAUCCUCCAUUUCCUUAAAAUCCGUGUUCGUCUUUGGCUUCUAUGUCUCUCUCACCGCCAAACUGACUCAUUCUCUUAUCUUCUUCUUCACUUAUGACCCCCCAAACCCACCGCAACCCACAAUGGUAACCGCUUCUCACAAAACCCACCAAUUUCCCACACCCCGUGUUUUAAUCGUCGGCAACUACUGCCACGAUGUUUUAAUCCAAAAUGACACCGUCGUUGGCGAAUCUCUUGGCGGCGCCUCCUCCUUCAUAGCCAGCGU
rnacentral:misc_RNA from 1 species